rnacentral:rRNA from 1 species
CGCUUCUUAUCGCAUGAUUCGAAGCGGAAAGAUUUAUCGGCAGGGGAUGGCUCCGCGUCGGAUUAGCCGGUUGGCGGGGUAACGGCCCACCAAAGCGAUGAUCCGUAGCCGGCCUGAGAGGGCGACCGGCCACAUUGGGACUGAGACACGGCCCAGACUCCUACGGGAGGCAGCAGUGGGGGAUAUUGCACAAUGGGGGGAACCCUGAUGCAGCGACGCCGCGUGGAGGAAGAAGUAUUUCGGUAUGUAAACUCCUAUCAGCAGGGAAGAAACUGACAGUACCUGACUAAGAAGCCCCGGCUAACUACGUGCCAGCAGCCGCGGUAAUACGUAGGGGGCAAGCGUUAUCCGGAUUCACUGGGUGUAAAGGGAGCGUAGACGGAAGUGAAAGCCAGAUGUGAAAACCCGCGGCUCAACUGCGGGCCUGCAUUUGGAACUUUAUUUCUAGAGUACCGGGUGGGCAGGCGGAAUUCCUGGUGUAGCGGUGAAAUGCGUAGAUAUCAGGAGGAACACCGGUGGCGAAGGCGGCCUGCUGGACGGAUACUGACGUUGAGGCUCGAAAGCGUGGGGAGCAAACAGG